rnacentral:rRNA from 1 species
CCCUUAGAUGUUCUGGGCUGCACGCGCGCUACACUGAAGCGUUCAACGAGUAUUCACCUUGCCCGGGAGGGUUGGGUAAUCUUUUGAAAACGCUUCGUGAUGGGGAUAGAUUAUUGCAAUUAUUAAUCUUCAACGAGGAAUUCCUAGUAAGCGCGAGUCAUCGGCUCGUGCUGAUUACGUCCCUGCCCUUUGUACACACCGCCCGUCGCUCCUACCGAUUGAGUGAUCUGGUGAAUAAUUCGGACUGCAGCACUGCUUGGUCUCCAGGCUUUGCAGCGGAAAGUUUAGUGAACCUUAUCACUUAGAGGAAGGAGAAGUCGUAACA